UACAGAGGUCCCAAGCGUUGUUCGGAUUCAUUGGGCGUAAAGAGCUCGUAGGCGGUUUGUCGCGUCUGCUGUGAAAGACCGGGGCUCAACUCCGGUUCUGCAGUGGGUACGGGCAGACUCGAGUCCGGUAGGGGAGUGUGGAAUUCCCGGUGUAGCGGUGAAAUGCGCAGAUAUCGGGAGGAACACCAGUAGCGAAGGCGGACACUCUGGGCCGGUACUGACGCUGAGGUGCGAAAGCGUGGGGAGCAAACAGGG
rnacentral:rRNA from 1 species